AGAGUUUGAUCCUGGCUCAGAACGAACGCUGGCGGCAGGCCUAACACAUGCAAGUCGAACGAACCUUCGGGUGAGUGGCGCACGGGUGCGUAACCCCCUUGGAAUAUACACAUAGGUGAGGAAUAACGUAGAGAAAUUUGCGCUAAUACCUCAUAAUGACUCCGGUCCAAAGAUUUAUCGCCUAUGAAUUAGCCCGCGUCAGAUUAGAUAGUUGGUGAGGUAAAGGCUCACCAAGUCUACGAUCUGUAGGGGGUCUGAGAGGAUGAUCCCCCACACUGGUACUGAGACACGGACCAGACUCCUACGGGAGGCAGCAGUGAGGAAUAUUGGACAAUGGGGGCAACCCUGAUCCAGCCAUGCCGCGUGAGUGAAGAAGGCCUUAGGGUUGUAAAGCUCUUUCAAUAGUGAAGAUAAUGACGGUAACUAUACAAGAAGCUCCGGCUAAAUUCGUGCCAGCAGCCGCGGUAAUACGAAUGGAGCAAGCGUUGUUCGGAAUCACUGGGCUUAAAGCGUAUGUAGGCGGACUAGCAAGUCAGGAGUGAAAUCCCGGGGCUCAACCCCGGAACUGCUCUUGAAACUGCAAGUCUAGAAUCCUGGAGAGGUUGGGAGAAUUCCUAGUGUAGAGGUGA
rnacentral:rRNA from 1 species